AAUGAAAUUAAAUAGCCGCAGGUAAAUCCUGUGCUAAGGUAGCAUAAUAAUUUGUUUUUUAAUUAAAAACUAGAAUGAAUGGCUGAACAAAAUUUUAACUUUAUUAUUUUAAUAAAUCUAAAUUUAAAUUUAUAGUGAAAAUGCUAUAAUGAUCCCCAAAGACGAGAAGACCCUGUAGAAUUUUAUUUUAAAUAAUUUAAAUAUUUAUUAUUUUUAUUUAAAUUAAUUAAAAAAUUUUAGCUGGGGCGGCUUCAAAAUAUAUUAACUUUUGAAAUUUAAUAUUAAAAUUUUAUAUUUAAGAUCCUUAAAAAAGACUACUUGAAAAAUUACCUUAGGGAUAACAGCGUAAUUUAAUUUUAAAGCUCUUAUUGAAAAUUAAGUUUGCGACCUCGAUGUUCGGAUUAAAUAUCUUAUUAAAAGAAAAUUUUUAAUAAA
rnacentral:rRNA from 1 species